rnacentral:tRNA from 1 species
GCCGUUGUAGCUCAGUUGGUAGAGCACUCCAUUGGUAAUGGGGAGGUCAUGGGUUCAAUCCCCAUCAACGGCUCCA